rnacentral:rRNA from 1 species
UACAGAGGUCUCAAGCGUUGUUCGGAUUCAUUGGGCGUAAAGAGCUCGUAGGCGGCUUGUCGCGUCGACCGUGAAAACUUGGGGCUCAACCCCAAGCCUGCGGUCGAUACGGGUAGGCUCGAGUUCGGUAGGGGAGACUGGAAUUCCUGGUGUAGCGGUGAAAUGCGCAGAUAUCAGGAGGAACACCGAUGGCGAAGGCAGGUCUCUGGGCCGAUACUGACGCUGAGGAGCGAAAGCGUGGGGAGCGAACAGG